UCAGAACGAACGCUGGCGGCGUGGAUUAGGCAUGCAAGUCGAACGAGAAAGCUUCCUUCGGGGAGCGAGUAAAGUGGCGAAAGGGUGAGUAACGUAUGGAUGACUUACCCUCGAGACGGGGACAACAGCUCGAAAGGGCUGCUAAUACCCGAUAGUUCCUGUAGCUUGCGGGCUACAGGAUAAAUGGUGCUUCCGCUCGAGGAGAGGUCCAUAUCCUAUCAGCUUGUUGGCGGGGUAAUGGCCCACCAAGGCUUUGACGGGUAGCCGGACUGAGAGGUCGGCCGGCCACACUGGGACUGAGACACUGCCCAGACUCCUACGGGAGGCUGCAGUCGAGAAUCUUCCGCAAUGGGCGAAAGCCUGACGGAGCGACGCCGCGUGCAGGAGGACGGCCCUCGGGUUGUAAACUGCUGUCACACGUUAAGAAAUGUUGCGUUCAAGCGCAGCUUGACAAAGGCGUGAGAGGAAGUCACGGCUAACUUCGUGCCAGCAGCCGCGGUAAGACGAAGGUGGCGAGCGUUGUUCGGAAUUACUGGGCAUAAAGCGCGCGUAGGUGGCUUGGUAUGUCAAUGGUGAAAUCCCAUGGCUCAACCAUGGAACUGCCGUUGAAACUGCCUUGCUUGAGUUCAGGAGGGGAGAGUGGAAUUCCUAGUGUAGCGGUGAAAUGCGUAGAUAUUAGGAGGAACGCCGGAGGCGAAAGCGACUCUCUGGACUGACACUGACACUGAGGCGCGAAAGCUAGGGGAGCAAACAGGAUUAGAUACCCUGGUAGUCCUAGCUGUAAACGAUGGGCACUAGAUGGAGGGGGUUCCGAUGCUUUCUCUGUCAAAGCAAAUGCGUUAAGUGCCCCGCCUGGGGAGUAUGGUCGCAAGGCUAAAACUCAAAGGAAUUGACGGGGACUCACACAAGCGGUGGAGCAUGUGGUUUAAUUCGAAGCAACGCGAAGAACCUUACCCGGGUUUGAAAUGCAGGGAUUAACCUU
rnacentral:rRNA from 1 species